AUCCAAUCCCUCCUGAAGUUCAAGAACGGCAUCUGCACCAACCCCCCUCUGAUGCAUCGACUUCUAGAAGCACCCAUCGGAGGGAUCCUCCACCUACCCCCAUAACUAGGGUGGGACCUCCUGUGACGACUCCAGUGCCAUGAUCCCCCUCACCCUCGACGGCCUCGACCUCACCUACGGGAUCUUUUGUGAUGACUUCGCAACCUCUCCCUUUCCGACAGAGGAGGGGGGGAGAGGGCCGGUGAUCGGAGAGGGAGGCAGCGAAGCAUAUGGAAGUUUUGCGAGAGAGAGAGAGGGGGAAGGAGAGAGAA
rnacentral:lncRNA from 1 species